UACAGAGGGUGCAAGCGUUAAUCGGAAUUACUGGGCGUAAAGCGUGCGUAGACGGUUACAUAAGUCGGGUGUGAAAGCCCCGGGCUCAACCUGGGAAUUGCAUUCGAGACUGCGUAGCUAGGGUGCGGAAGAGGGAAGCGGAAUUUCCGGUGUAGCGGUGAAAUGCGUAGAUAUCGGAAGGAACACCAGUGGCGAAAGCGGCUUCCUGGUCCAGCACCGACGUUCAGGCACGAAAGCGUGGGGAGCAAACAGGAU
rnacentral:rRNA from 1 species